rnacentral:rRNA from 1 species
CCUGGGAACUGCGUUNUGAACUGGGUGACUAGAGUGUGUCAGAGGGAGGUAGAAUUCCACGUGUAGCAGUGAAAUGCGUAGAGAUGUGGAGGAAUACCGAUGGCGAAGGCAGCCUCCUGGGAUAACACUGACGUUCAUGCCCGAAAGCGUGGGUAGCAAACAGGAUUAGAUACCCUGGUAGUCCACGCCCUAAACGAUGUCGAUUAGCUGUUGGGCAGCUUGACUGCUUAGUAGCGAAGCUAACGCGUGAAAUCGACCGCCUGGGGAGUACGGUCGCAAGAUUAAAACUCAAAGGAAUUGACGGGGACCCGCACAAGCGGUAGAUGAUGUGGAUUAAUUCGAUGCAACGCGAAGAACCUUACCUGGUCUUGACAUGUACGGAACCCUCCAGAGACGGAGGGGUGCCUUCGGGAGCCGUAACACAGGUGCUGCACGGCUGUCGUCAGCUCGUGUCGUGAGAUGUUGGGUUAAGUCCCGCAGCGAGCGCAACCCUUGUCAUUAGUUGCCAUCAUUAAGUUGGGCACUCUAAUGAGACUGCCGGUGACAAGCCGGAGGAAGGUGGGGAUGACGUCAAGUCCUCAUGGCCCUUAUGACCAGGGCUUCACACGUCAUACAAUGGUCGGUACAGAGGGUAGCCAAGCCGUGAGGUGGAGCCAAUCUCACAAAACCGAUCGUAGUCCGGAUUGCACUCUGCAACUCGAGUGCAUGAAGUCGGAAUCGCUAGUAAUCGCAGGUCAGCAUACUGCGGUGAAUACGUUCCCGGGUCUUGUACACACCGCCCGUCACACCAUGGGAGUGGGGGAUACCAGAAGUAGGUAGGGUAACCGCAAGGAGC